GGCUUUAUAGUCAAUUUAUUAUGAUAUUAGAAUGCAAUUCUGAAGUAGUUUAGUAAGCUAAAGCUU
rnacentral:tRNA from 1 species